GACGAACGCUGGCGGCGUGCUUAACACAUGCAAGUCGAACGGAAAGGCCCUGCUUUUGUGGGGUGCUCGAGUGGCGAACGGGUGAGUAACACGUGAGUAACCUGCCCUUGACUUUGGGAUAACUUCAGGAAACUGGGGCUAAUACCGGAUAGGAGCUCCUGCUGCAUGGUGGGGGUUGGAAAGUUUCGGCGGUUGGGGAUGGACUCGCGGCUUAUCAGCUUGUUGGUGGGGUAGUGGCUUACCAAGGCUUUGACGGGUAGCCGGCCUGAGAGGGUGACCGGCCACAUGGGGACGGAGAUACGGCCCAGACUCCUACGGGAGGCAGCAGUGGGGAAUAUUGCACAAUGGGCGGAAGCCUGAUGCAGCAACGCCGGGUGCGGGAUGACGGCCUUCGGGUGGUAAACCGCUUUCGCCUGUGACGAAGCGUGAGUGACGGUAAUGGGUAAAGAAGCACCGGCUAACUACGU
rnacentral:rRNA from 1 species